ACGAACGCUGGCGGCGUGCCUAAUCCCUGCCAGUCGCACGCUGAAGGAGGAGCUUGCUUCUCCGGAUGAGUUGCGAACGGGUGAGUAACGCGUAGGUAACCUGCCUGGUAGCGGGGGAUAACUAUUGGAAACGAUAGCUAAUACCGCAUAACAGUAGAUGUUGCAUGACAUUUGCUUAAAAGGUGCAAUUGCAUCACUACCAGAUGGACCUGCGUUGUAUUAGCUAGUUGGUGAGGUAACGGCUCACCAAGGCGACGAUACAUAGCCGACCUGAGAGGGUGAUCGGCCACACUGGGACUGAGACACGGCCCAGACUCCUACGGGAGGCAGCAGUAGGGAAUCUUCGGCAAGGGACGGAAGUCUGACCGAGCAACGCCGCGUGAGUGAAGAAGGUUGUCGGAUCGUAAAGCUCGGUUGUAAGAGAAGAACGAGUGUGAGAGUGGAAAGUUCACACUGUGACGGUAUCUUACCAGAAAGGGACGGCUAACUACGUG
rnacentral:rRNA from 1 species